rnacentral:lncRNA from 1 species
UUCUAUCUAUCCUAAUAUUAUCAUGCACAAUGUGGAAGUUUGGAUCUUGUGGCUUAAGGUAGUGAGAUGCCAUGUUGACCACACAUUGUAGAACCUCAUGAAAUUUACGAUGGAUUGUAUCCGCUGAAUGUUUGAAGCGGUUUUGAGUUCUUCUAUUUGAUUCACAACCUCUCAAAGUCCACAAGAACAUUGCAAGAGACUCAUAAUUGCUAACAAAGCUUGUUUCUUUUAGACCAUAAUUACGUACCAACAAGUCAUGAAGAUCAAAGAACACACUUGCCGUCAUUCUCAACAUUGUGUAGGUCUCUCCCAGCGUGGCAAUAGUCUCUUGAAGCCAUCCAAAUCCACUCAAAAUAGAUUUCCUAGGCUCCGCCUUCAUCACCCAACUUUCACAAUACUUUCCAAAUAUGACUGCUGCAACCGAACAAAGCAUGUCCAUAUUAUGUUGUUGAUGCAUAACCAAAUUCCUCAUUGUUUCAUAACUAUUGCCAUCCUCACUAUCACUAUCCGAUGACAUCUGCCAUAUCAAACAAUAGUUAGCAUCAAGAUAAUAAUAGGUUCACCAACAUAGGCAUUAAAUAUUAUUCCAAUAGCACAAGAUAGUAAUAGGUUCACCAACAUAGGCAUAAAUAUUGUUCUCAUAGCACAACAUAAUAAAAGGUUCACCAACAAAGGCAUAAAUAUUGUUCUCAUAACACAAGAUAAUAAAAGGUUCACCAACAAAGGCAUAAAUAUUGUUCUCAUAGCACAACAUAAUAAAAGGUUCACCAACAAAGGCAUAAAUAUUGUUCUCAUAGCACAACAUAAUAAUAGGUUCACCAACAUAGGCAUAAAUAUUGUUCCCAUCGCUCCAAGAUAAUAAAAGGUUCACCAACAAAGGCAUAAAUAUUGUUCUCAUAGCACAACAUAAUAAUAGGUUCACCAACAUAGGCAUAAAUAUUGUUCCCAUCGCCCAAGAUAAGAUGUAACGAACUAGUUGCCAUACUUGAGGUCAAACCUCCUACGCAACCAACCCAUUCUAGAGUCGGAUGUCAUGUGCAAGAACAUUUCCCUUCGCUCUUUCUUCAGAAAGAGCUCAGUAGCAAUGAAGUGCUCAUCAGUGCCAUCUAUUGCGCCACAAGCACGAACUAAAUCCAUGGUAGAUGCAACAGAGGUGGUCUCAUCUUUCUGUAGGAAAGACUAAAAUGAUGUAUGCGAAGCAUGUGCAAUGGAACUAAUCUUUUUUAUCUCCUCUUGCAUCACUUGUGCAGUCUUUGGUUUCUUGUUCUUCUCCGGAAUCUUGACCCCAAGCCUCACUUUAGAUGCACUAGCUAUUGUCGGAGAUGCUUGCUCUUCGGUAUCAUCCUCCAAAUCAAGAUCGGUGAUUUCAUCAACAUUCAANNNN